CCGGAAACGAAUCUCCCGUCGUCACAUCCGCCCUGGCAGGCUUCCUUUAGCAGACCAUCAGUCGGCAAGUGUGGCCCGCGGCGCCAUUUCUUUGGUGGGCAAGGCAAGACUAUCCUACCAGUGGAGCAUUCAGGACUUAAUAAACUGCCCAUCCGAGGGUAUCAGGACUUGUCCGUUGCUUCAUCCAAACCAUUGAAAGUGGAAUGAGCCCACACUCCUCACCUCAAGCUACUGGUUUCAGGUCGAUGCACCCGGGCCACCUUUUGUCAUCGGUGCUACGAUGACCCAAAGUCACCUGGGUGCUUCCUUGCUCCUCCUGGACUGCCCCUCUUUCAGCUCAGGACGGUCCCUGUCCCACAACUUGUGCCCACUCUGUUCCACGUCUUCGGUGAAUUUUGGAUAAUGAUUCAAAUGCUUUUCCGUGGCACAAAUAAGUCACAACUAAAGUGACACCAGGCAGUGGGCCAUUCCUCACAGGACAGUCCCGAUUUUGACAGCUGAACCCGCAGUCCCGGAUUGUUACUGAAAUGUCCUGACUUUCUCUUUGAUCUCCUGCACUGAACAGCCAGAAAAAGAUACACAGUUUCUAACUUAAUUGGCUUUUGGCAGAGAGCUCAGAAUACUUUGCAGGUGCACGUAGAUACAUUUCUUACAAUUUGAUAAGCAAAAAAACAAUUGUAACAAUUUAAGAUAAGCAAAGAAACAAUUGUAACUAUUUACGAUAAGCAGGUCUCU